ensembl:piRNA 21ur-2716 ncRNA
UAUUCAUGGACAUCGAGGAAU